rnacentral:rRNA from 1 species
AUUGAACGCUGGCGGCAGGCCUAACACAUGCAAGUCGAAUGGUAACAGGAAACAGCUUGCUGUUUCGCUGACGAGUGGCGGACGGGUGAGUAAUGUCUGGGAAACUGCCUGAUGGAGGGGGAUAACUACUGGAAACGGUAGCUAAUACCGCAUAACGUCGCAAGACAAAAGAGGGGGACCUUCGGGCCUCUUGCCAUCAGAUGUGCCUAGAUGGGAUUAGCUAGUAGGUGGGGUAACGGCUCACCUAGGCGACGAUCCCUAGCUGGUCUGAGAGGAUGACCAGCCACACUGGAACUGAGACACGGUCCAGACUCCUACGGGAGGCAGCAGUGGGGAAUAUUGCACAAUGGGCGCAAGCCUGAUGCAGCCAUGCCGCGUGUAUGAAGAAGGCCUUCGGGUUGUAAAGUACUUUCAGCGGGGAGGAAGGGAGUAAAGUUAAUACCUUUGCUCAUUGACGUUACCCGCAGAAGAAGCACCGGCUAACUCCGUG